UACAGAGGUCUCAAGCGUUGUUCGGAUUCAUUGGGCGUAAAGGGUGUGUAGGUGGCGCGCUAAGUCGGGUGUGAAAUUUCGGAGCUUAACUCCGAAACUGCAUUCGAUACUGGCGUGCUUGAGGACUGGAGAGGAGACUGGAAUUUACGGUGUAGCAGUGAAAUGCGUAAAUAUCGUAAGGAAGACCAGUGGCGGAAGGCGGGUCUCUGGACAGUUCCUGACACUGAGACACGAAGGCCAGGGGAGCAAACGGG
rnacentral:rRNA from 1 species